rnacentral:rRNA from 1 species
UCUUGGCGGCGAGUGGCGGACGGGUGAGUAAUAUAUCGGAACGUGCCCAGUAGCGGGGGAUAACUACUCGAAAGAGUGGCUAAUACCGCAUACGCCCUACGGGGGAAAGGGGGGGAUCGCAAGACCUCUCACUAUUGGAGCGGCCGAUAUCGGAUUAGCUAGUUGGUGGGGUAAAGGCUCACCAAGGCAACGAUCCGUAGCUGGUUUGAGAGGACGACCAGCCACACUGGGACUGAGACACGGCCCAGACUCCUACGGGAGGCAGCAGUGGGGAAUUUUGGACAAUGGGGGAAACCCUGAUCCAGCCAUCCCGCGUGUAUGAUGAAGGCCUUCGGGUUGUAAAGUACUUUUGGCAGAGAAGAAAAGGUAUCCCCUAAUACGGGAUACUGCUGACGGUAUCUGCAGAAUAAGCACCGGCUAACUACGUGCCAGCAGCCGCGGUAAUACGUAGGGUGCAAGCGUUAAUCGGAAUUACUGGGCGUAAAGCGUGUGUAGGCGGUUCGGAAAGAAAGAUGUGAAAUCCCAGGGCUCAACCUUGGAACUGCAUUUUUAACUGCCGAGCUAGAGUAUGUCAGAGGCGGGUAGAAUUCCACGUGUAGCAGUGAAAUGCGUAGAUAUGCGGAGGAAUACCGAUGGCGAAGGCAGCCCCCUGGGAUAAUACUGACGCUCAGACACGAAAGCUGGGGAGCAAACAGGAUUAGAUACCCUGGUAGUCCACGCCCUAAACGAUGUCAACUAGCUGUUGGGCCCUUAAGGCCUUAGUAGCGCAGCUAACGCGUGAAGUUGACCGCCUGGGGAGUACGUCGCAAG